UGGGAACGAGAAGACACUCAUGGAGGAGUCGC
rnacentral:piRNA from 1 species